AACGAACGCUGGCGGCAUGCCUAACACAUGCAAGUCGAACGAGACCUUCGGGUCUAGUGGCGCACGGGUGCGUAACGCGUGGGAACCUGCCUUUAGGUUCGGAAUAACUCAGAGAAAUUUGAGCUAAUACCGGAUGAUGUCUUCGGACCAAAGAUUUAUCGCCUUUAGAUGGGCCCGCGUAAGAUUAGCUAGUUGGUGGGUAAAGGCCUACCAAGGCGACGAUCUUUAGCUGGUCUGAGAGGAUGAUCAGCCACACUGGGACUGAGACACGGCCCAGACUCCUACGGAGGCAGCAGUGGGGAAUAUUGGACAAUGGGCGAAAGCCUGAUCCAGCAAUGCCGCGUGAGUGAUGAAGGCC
rnacentral:rRNA from 1 species